AGGGCGGGGGGGCCCCGUCGCCGUCCCGCAGACCGGAGCGCACCUCUGCCCGCGGGCCCGGCCGUCCUCGCUGCGGAUCAUCCCGUCUCUCUCUCGUGUCUCUCGUCCUUGUGCCGAGCUAUGUGUUUAUCUCGGCGCGUCUCGCAAGGAAGGAGGUUGUGGUGGGGCUGGCUGUGGAGCAGAGAGAGGGGCAGAAAAAAACCAGGCUGGAAGGAAACCGCUUGGUUUGGCAUCCCCUGCCUUGAGAAACACGCCAUUUGGGACCUAUCCUGCUGGACUCUGCGCUGGGGGAGAGAGAUCCUUGCUUUUUUAAUUUUUUGUCUUUAAAAAAAAAAACACCUGCUCUCCUCCGCACCUGUCUUCUGCAUGGUUUUAGUUCCCCUGCUGCCUUCCUGAUUUUUUUUUUUUUUUUAAAUAUUUUUUCCUUUUUGAAUUAUCUGAGGAGAUGAAACCGGAUUUCUAAACUUCUCCUCCGACUGUUGCGAAUGCUAUAGAGCAGUUUUGUCUGGAACCACCCGCUUCUUCCCCAAGACGGGCUCAUUUUGAGGAAUGCUUCCCAACUACUUGGGGUCCAUGAAUCCUCAGGCUGCUCUAGAGCUUAGUAUCCAGUUGAGGUUUCAACAUGUGGACUCCAAACUCUUUGGCCACAGAAGUGUCUAUGAAUUAUUAUUUCAAAGAAAGUAAUGAAAAGCUGCAAAGAACACCAAAUCUGGACUAAACUCCCAUAAAGCAUUUUUAUAUCCUUGGCUGUGUUGUAAGAGAAUUUUUGUAGAGCAACCACGGUUACUAUUAUAAUCCAGUGAGCUGCCUAAGUCAUGCUUUUUCACAGGCCCUCUUUACACACAUUAUGACUUCAUGAUUUGUUAUCACUUCAAAGAUGGUUUCUAACUCUUAUUUUAGUAUUUUUGCUGUGCUUUAAGUUUCCUGGAAACAGGGUUACAAGACAUGUUGUGUUAUUACUGAUGUGUGUUUCUUGGUCAUUUAAAAAGAUGAGGACUGAAGGCGCAUGUGUUAGGAGUUCUGUCCUGUUUUGUCAAAAACAUAUCACUAACUGCUGAUAUACUUGGUUGGGUUGUAGGAAUCUUAUUGCAUUUGGAUCCUUUUGUGGUUUUUGUCAUGACUUGUUUAUGGAGAUACUUUAACGCAAAUUAAAAUUUCUUGAGCAAUGUAUAGAUAUUAAGACAGUUUUUCAAGUUAAGAUAGUGAAAUAUUGUUGUGUUUUUCCCACUGGGUGUAAAUUGGUGUAAAGUUAUUUGGCAUAUAACCUUGCUGUCUGAAGACGUGGCCAGGCUAGGCCCUUAGUUUUUUUUU